GGUUAUGAAGUUGAAUAAGUUUGGAGUAUCCUUAACCAUACUUUUUCUUGAUAUUUCCCAAAACAUGUUCUCCAAGCUGUUAAUAUUCUAUGUAAAUGAAAGAAAAAGGAAGAAAGAAAAAGAAAGGAAGAAAAGAAGGAGGAAGAAAAAGAAGGGAGGGAGAAAAAAGGAAAGAAAAAGAAAAGACAAACUCGUGAGUUUGGAAAGCACUUUCAUUACAGAAAGAU
rnacentral:lncRNA from 1 species